rnacentral:rRNA from 1 species
GCAAGUCGAGCGGAAACGAAGAGGUGCUUGCACCUCUGGCGUCGAGCGGCGGACGGGUGAGUAAUUCUUGGGAAUAUGCCUUAUGGUGGGGGACAACAGUUGGAAACGACUGCUAAUACCGUAUAACGUCUACGGACCAAAGGGGGGGAUCUUCGGACCUCUUGCGUCAAGAUAUGCCUAGGUGGGAUUAGCUAGUUGGUGAGGUAAUGGCUCACCAAGGCGACGAUGCCUAGCUGGUCUGAGAGGAUGAUC